rnacentral:rRNA from 1 species
UACGUAGGGGGCAAGCGUUGUCCGGAUUUAUUGGGCGUAAAGAGCGUGUAGGCGGUUAUGCAGGUCCGCUGUGAAAACUGGAGGCUUAACCUCCAGACGUCGGUGGAAACCGUAUGACUAGAGUCCGGAAGAGGAGAGUGGAAUUCUUGGUGUAGCGGUGAAAUGCGCAGAUAUCAGGAAGAACACCCGUGGCGAAGGCGGCUCUCUGGGACGGUACUGACGCUGAGACGCGAAAGCGUGGGGAGCGAACAGG